rnacentral:tRNA from 1 species
GGCACAGUAGCUGAAUGGUUGCGGAUUUUGUAUCACAAGCAGAAGGUUCUGGGAUCAAACCCGGGCGGUGCCA